rnacentral:rRNA from 2 species
GAGGAAGAGAAAACAAUAGUGAUUCCGUCAGUAGCGGCGAGCGAACGCGGAGAAGCCCAAACCAGAGAGCUUGCUCUCUGGGGUUGUGGGACGUCUCACAUGGAGUUACAAAGGAACCGGUUAAGUGAAGAGGUCUGGAAAGGCCCGCCAAAGAAGGUAAAAGCCCUGUAGUUGAAAGUCUGUUCCCUCCGAGACGGAUCCCGAGUAGUGCGGGGCACGUGAAACCCCGUAUGAAUCCGGCAGGACCAUCUGCCAAGGCUAAAUACUUCCUAGCGACCGAUAGUGAAGCAGUACCGUGAGGGAAAGGUGAAAAGCACCCCGGAAGGGGAGUGAAAUAGAACCUGAAACCGUGUGCUUACAAAAAGUCAGAGCCCGUUUUAGGGGUGAUGGCGUGCCUUUUGUAGAAUGAACCGGCGAGUUACGUUCCCGUGCAAGGUUAAGGUGAAGAGCCGGAGCCGCAGCGAAAGCGAGUCUGAAUAGGGCGACAUAGUACGUGGACGUAGACCCGAAACCGGGUGAUCUACCCCUGUCCAGGGUGAAGGUGCGGUAACACGCACUGGAGGCC